UACAGCCAUAUCUCAUUGAAGCACCAGUUCUUGUAUGAUCACCAAAGUUAAGCAACAUUGAGCGUGGUCAGUACAUAGCUGGUGACCAUGUGGGAAUAUCAGGUACAGUA